rnacentral:rRNA from 1 species
CCCCUUGACAAGACUGACGCUCAGGUGCGAAAGCGUGGGGAGCAAACAGGAUUAGAUACCUGGUAGUCACGCUGUAAACGAUGUCGAUUUGGAGGUUGUUCCCUUGAGGAGUGGCUUCCGGAGCUAACGCGUUAAAUCGACCGCUGGGGAGUACGGCCGCAAGGUUAAAACUCAAAUGAAUUGACGGGGGCCCGCACAGCGGUGGAGCAUGUGGUUUAAUUCGAUGCAACGCGAAGAACCUUACCUACUCUUGACAUCCAGAGAAUUUAGCAGAGAUGCUUUAGUGCCUUCGGGAACUCUGAGACAGGUGCUGCAUGGCUGUCGUCAGCUCGUGUUGUGAAAUGUUGGGUUAAGUCCCGCAACGAGCGCAACCCUUAUCCUUUGUUGCCAGCACAUUAUGGUGGGAACUCAAAGGAGACUGCCGGUGAUAAACCGGAAAAAGGUGGGGAUGACGUCAAGUCAUCAUGGCCCUUACGAGUAGGGCUACACACGUGCUACAAUGGCGUAUACAAAGAGAAGCGACCUCGCGAGAGCAAGCGGAACUCAUAAAGUACGUCGUAGUCCGGAUUGGAGUCUGCAACUCGACUCCAUGAAGUCGGAAUCGCUAGUAAUCGUAGAUCAGAAUGCUACGGUGAAUACGUUCCCGGGCCUUGUACACACCGCCCGUCACACCAUGGGAGUGGGUUGCAAAAGAAGUAGGUAGCUUAACCUUCGGGAGGGCGCUUACCACUUUGUGAUUCAUGACUGGGGUGAAGUCGUAACAAGGUAACCA